rnacentral:lncRNA from 1 species
CCAAAGAGAGUAAUACAUAUUAGAGUAAGCUCAACAUGAUAAAGGCAAAGAUAUUUUUUAUGCUAACACUUAACCAGUUCCACAAAGCUUUGUUAUCUAUUUGAGCUCCACAGAAUUUAAGGAUCAAGAAAAACUAGCAGACGGGGGAACAUUCUAAUCGCUGUCAGGGUACUGCCGACAUUCAAAUACACCUCCGCCACCUGCUAGCUACAUCAGAAGAAAUUACGUUAAAAUCCAACUUGCGGGAGAGCACCCCCAUUUAUCCAGCUAAGUGUUUCUACUCGUGUUGAUACUUUACUCAAAUAAUAAAAAGAUGCAUAAUCAUAAAAACCCAAAUAAAGAUUUUGUGCUUGUAUAUAUAUAUAUAUUUGCUUAGUUUGCUAAAUAAAUAAAUAAAUAAAAUUUGCUAUGAACCCUCAUGAUAAGCUCUCACAUGGAAAUAAUGAAUAGUUGCUCCGCCAUGACUAGUUUUCGAAAUUAAAUUCUCUCUCAAGUUUAGGCAUGACUGUUAUGAAUUAAGAUUUGCUCCUAAACCUGAACUUGUGGGAAGAGUACUUUAUCUAAAGUCUAAGUCGUUAACGGAUAUGAUAUGGGAAGGUUGAGCUACUGUUUAUCUGUUCCUAGAGAUGCUAGAAUUCUGGUGAAUUUUAUCUUUGAAAAUAUUUAAAAUAUUGCAUGAUGAGUUCCUGUAUGAUGAGAGCUUAAAAUCCUACCACAGCCAUAUAUACAUGCUUAUUAGACUAUGAACCAUACAUUUACUUUUUACUACUUAUGAGCAUUGAGUGCGGUCAAGCUGUGUAGACCCUUAGGAGCUUGUCAUGUAGUUAAAUCAAGAUUCACUUGCACGUUCACUCAUACAUGCUGCUUCUACUCCGGAAGUACGCAUCCAUAUACAUCCAUUCAUUUCCAUCUCCAGAUUCACCCAAAAUUAUUCUACUCCUAUCCAGGAGAGAAUAGCCAAAAACAUUAUCCUAUCCCUAUUAUUCCCCGUGAAAUAAAUGCUCUUGAUAUUUUGGUUACUACCACUUGCUACAUUAUUCUAGGAGGGUGAGUGCUCUGAAAAAAAGAGAGUGAAUACGAGGAAAUAAAAAGGGGCAAGUGCCCGAAACCUCGAAGAAAAGAAAAAGUGAAACGAAGGUAAAAAUGGACAAGUGUCCGACAGUAGAAUUAGGGGUACAAGAUACCCACCUAAGAGAAAAGAAAAAAAAGAAAAUAUAGAGAAUCUCAUUCCCUUCAAAAAGCUUCAAAGUGCAAGAAACGUAUGUAGCCCCUCAAAAGAGCAAAAGUAGAAUUAGACUUUCACCAAUGUUUUCACCAUUAUGACCAUCAUCACCAUACACCAUUUAUUCGCCACACCUGCAUAUCUUAAUUUGAUUUAUUGACUUGUUUCUCUAGAUCCAUGGUUUGACUAUGCAAUAAAUGUCUUGUAACUAUGUAUUAGCUGUCUCCCACCUAAGAGCUCCAGAUAUCAAAACCUUAUUAGAGUAGGGUGAGAGAGAAGGCAAUAUCACUAUGCCUCAUACCACAAAUACUACAUACUUUGAGAGAAGGCGUAUAUCAUCACUGCCUUGGUAAGGAUCUAGAAAUACCACAAAAGAGAGUCAUACAAGGAAUCUCUGAGUUUUAUUUGAAAAUCUGCAAAAAACUCCAGAACUAUAGCUGAUCAAGAACAAGAGACAUGGCGCUUGACUUGACCGUUCUAUCUUUUAACUGCUCAAGACAUAAGUGACGGUUGUAAGCCCAUGGUGGAAGGUAAUAUGAGUAAUUUUAAAUCUUAACAGUUUACCGUAACCCAGAGAUGAGAUUUUGUUUGAACGCAUCUGUACCUUUAAGGCAUAAAACCACUGAAGAAACUCUUGGGUCCAUCCUUGCUCAGGGACGAGCAAGAGGUAAGCUUGGGGGAGUUGUUGACGGUCCUUAAGUACUAAAUAUAAUCAUCAAAUAAAUAAAGAAAAGGAUCCAAAUGCAACCAACACCCGGACUUAGGGUUUUAUCUGACAGAAUUCCACGAGUUUUGGUGUUUGUCUAUUUCUGCAGGGGGUUAUUAGGAAAUAUGGAGGAAAGGCCCACAUGUCGGGUUUACAUAG